ensembl:snRNA U6 U6 spliceosomal RNA
GUACUUGCUUCCACAACACAUAUACUAAAAUUGGAACGAUACAAAGAAGAUUAGCAUGGCCCCUGUGCAAGGAUGACACACAAAUUCAUGAAGCGUUCCAUAUUAAA